CGGUGGGUACAAUAUAUAACAUUGGUGUGAUAAAGGUAAGAUGAGAAAAGGAUCUAAAACUGAAGUAAGGUACUGAGCCAUCACAAUCUGAUUUGCACUUACAUCAGAAGUUCACAAUGACGAUUGACACACAAAGGUCUUAAUCUCCAUUACAAACUAACUUUGAAAAAAAAACAAGUUUGCAAACUUGCAAUGCUAAGAAAAUCAACCAAGCAACAUGGAUUGAAUAACAGCAAUGCACUCCCAUGCUUCAAUGCUAACCGCCAAGUAAUGAGCCACUUGCUGCUCAUUUUGGUCUUCGAUAGUGAUUUCAGAUUCCCAUUCCUCCUACAAAAAAUAAUAAAAAGUAUAAGAAUGUACUCAAUAGCAUCAUUUGUACAAGAUAAAUUGUAAAUGGAGGCAAUGUAAUGUUACCAUGGCUUCUUCAUCUUCAAGAAUAGAUUGAAUCGCAAAAUGAUCGGAAGUGACAUUAUCUAAAGCAAAGUUAUUCUAAAAUUAGUAAGAAGAUAAUGAAAGAAAAAAUAAUGCAUAACUACUCCUAAUAGAAAUAAAUGGAUUUAAAACUAAUUGACUUUCCUAGCAUCACCUUUUGUCAACCUCUUUUUUUGUUGUUUUGAAUCUAUGGAUUUCUUAGCAUCACCCGUUUCCAAAUGAGACCUUAAAUGUGAUGUCCCAUGAGAUUGUUCCCCACUAAUUUUCUUGUGUUAGAACACACAUUCAGCUUUCAAUUUCCUAUCAACAAUUACCUCCUCAAAAUCAUUCCUAACCACAGAUCUACGUUUUGUCUUGGAACCAGAUUGUGUACCACUAUUCACUACCUCACUUUUAGUACCAUUACCUUAUUGUAUUGCUGACAUAUUCGUAGCUGACCUCUCUUCUGCCGGUGAGAGUGACAAGCCAGUGUUAGGAGACGCCAUUCCAACAACCUUAAAAAAUAGUCAAAAAAUUAUGAGGACAGUUUAUGCUUACUGUAUGCCAUAUGAUACAGAAAGACAAAUGUUCAAAGAACUGAAACUAAUUAAAAGACAUAUGUUCAGAGAACUCAAACUGCAAAUUUAUGCAUACAUAUAUUCUGUUCCAUGACUAGAAAAACACUCACCUAUUCCCUCAAACUGACGUUGCUUUGCUUCUCCUCUCCAAGUCCAUCAGUCAUCUUCGUGGUCUUUGCCCUCUGCCAACCAUGAUCGCUAGAGGAGCAGCAAAGAGCACAACAGCGACCAGGAAGGGUAGCCAGCGAG
rnacentral:lncRNA from 1 species